AUCACCAGGGGCAUUUGGGUUCUAAACAAGAGGAUGAUAAAGUCUGCUUGAUUCCUUCUUAAUUUUAAAAGGAAAAAAAUGUGAUGUGGAAAGAGAGGAUGAUGAAGGAAGACAAGAUUUGAUAUUUGAACAAUCUACAAGUUUGCUUCAUGGUUGUCACAGGCUAGUGUACAUUAGUUCAGAGGAUUCCAAAUGAUGAAACGACACAGAAAACAUAAAGGACAAAUAGACAUAAUCACUAAGACAAGAAAUGCAAAAACGUGCCUUAGUGUCCAAGUGAUUGCUCUAAGGCUGGGCACCAGUGAUUGAUCUUGACAGGUGGCUUCAUGCAUCCCAGGGCUGAGUGGGCUGUGUGCGUCCCAGGUGCUUGGGACAGAAGCUGGGAACAACGGCUCAUACUUGGUUUGCUUUAAGGAAUGCAACUCUAGAUGAUGCUUCUAUAUUUUUGGACUCUUUUCCAUCUUGAUGACAAAUUUUAAACUGAGAUGUAUCAUUUUACACUUGUUCAGGAAAAAUAAAAUUACCUAACUAAAUUCAUUUACCAGACAUAUCAAUGUGCUUUUAAAAUGAUGUGAAAACUGAUGGUGACAUACAAAUAUUUGACAGGCCAUUGCUAGUACUGAUCAGGGAUGAAUGGAUCGCAGGCCAGAAAAACAGUCCAGAUAUUCAUCAUUGUCCUUCCUUAUAUGGUUCAACUGAUGUUUUGAAAACAUCACACUCACAGAAUCUCUUGCACAGCACACACAGAUUCUAAUUCUGUAUUCACACUAAAGUUCUGUCUACUAUUUACAUUAUGGCGUUUUUAUGAUGGUGGUAUUUGUUACUACUCUCACCAUUUUUCAAUAAGCCAUUUUUGUGAACUAGGAAUAAGAGUAGCAACUGUAAAAUGAAAAUUUAACAAACAUCAAAAUUAAUAGGAAAGUACAUUAGUGAAGACAAACACCCUGUUGACUUCAUGUUCGCUGAGGUAAACUGACCAACACAGUCCUUGUCGUGUACAUAUGCACCUAAUGACUGUACCUUAAGGACAUAACACUGUUAAAAAGUUGAGAUUUUAAUGAAAACCCUAUCUUACAUUUAAAAUCUACAAAAUAUGUGAACAAUGUGCAUGAAAUUUGCAAAAUAUAUAAGGAAAAAAUGUUUCAGUGUGUUUUUUUCCCCUCUGGAACUGCAAAACUACCAAAUUCGCCAUUCUUUGAGUGACCUUGCUCAAAUGCAAAAGCCAGGAUUUUACCUACAGCUCAGAUCAAGUGCCAAAAGAUGACAAUGGUUCAAGCAGUAAGAAGGGCAUCAAUGAGAGUCACAGAGAAGCACUUUCCAACAAAAUAAACCCUUUAUUAAACAGGAAAUAUUAUUUUAUACAAGUUAAAGUGAAAAUAGUAAUAAGAAAGUACAAGCUACUUUAGGUAGCAAGUGUUGUCCAUUAAAACACCUGGUACGUAGUAAGCAGUCAAGAAAUGUUUACCAAAUUGAAAGAAGACAUUUAAGAGAAAACACAGAUACACUAUUUAAAAUCCACUUUUUUCUCAGUCCUGAAGUCUUGUUCUAGCAUAAGGUUGCUCUCAGAAUUAAAAUUACGGCUUUCUCUGAGAUUUGUCUUGCUGUCUAGGAGUCUAUUGUUGUUCAAUGGUUUUACGAUUGUUCUAUUACUAGUUCCCCCACUAAAGUCCCUGAGA